AAGGAGUGCCUACAAAAUGGAACUGCAAGGAAGGCAAAGCUGGGAGGGGAUCUGUAGUAAAUGCCUAGCCUAGGUGCAUCCCUGGAGGUUUUCUGGCAGGAAUUUGAGCUUGCAGAGUCCUCAGUUCAAGUGUGCUUAUUGGGAGAUCCUGAUUGCAAGCCUCGGUUUUUAGAAGCUUAGCAAAAUGACACAAAUGGCCCUGAGGUGGUCCUCUAAAGGCCUUUCUCUUCCCCUGUUUGCUGCAAAGAGAGCUGGUAGCCACUAGAGGGGAGGAGACUGCCGGCUUUACUGAGCGCUCCAGCUACAGCUUGAAGGUGCAGAGGCUGUCACCAGACUGGUUGCCCAACGAAAUGGUUUAAAAUAUGUUAUGAAGGAAAGAAGAAAAAAGUGUAAUCAAAGCCAAAACUUGAUCCGAGUGACAAAAAAAAUUCUAAUCUUGGAGUUGAUAAAGACAGUGAUCAUAUACAGGUGGCAUGCUGUGGUCUGUGGUGGGGUAUGA
rnacentral:lncRNA from 1 species